rnacentral:rRNA from 1 species
AACGUAGGAGACAAACGUUAUCCGGAGUUACUGGGCGUAAAGGGCGUGCAGGUGGUCUGUUAAGUCUGGCGUGAAAGCUCUCGGCUAAACCGGGAGAGGUCGUUGGAUACUGGCGGACUAGAGGACGGUAGAGGCGUGUGGAAUUCCGGGUGUAGUGGUGGAAUGCGUAGAGAUCCGGAGGAACACCAGCGGCGAAGGCGGCAUCCUGGACUGGUCCUGACACUCAGGAGCGAAAGCGUGGGGAGCGAUCCGG